AUUGAACGCUGGCGGGAGGCGUUACACAUGCAAGUCGAACGAGCGGCGGACGGGUGAGUAAUGUAUGGGGAUGUGCCAGAUAGAGGGGGAUAACUACUGGAAAAGGUGGCUAAUACCGCAUACUAUUGGAGCGACCCAUAUGGGAUUAGCUAGUAGGUGGGGUAAAGGCUCACCAAGGCGACGAUCGCUAGCUGGUUUGAGAGGAUGAUCAGCCACACUGGGACUGAGACACGGCCCAGACUCCUACGGGAGGCAGCAGUGGGGAAUAUUGCACAAUGGGCGAAAGCCUGAUGCAGCCAUGCCGCGUGUAUGAAGAAGGCCUUAGGGUUGUAAAGUACUUUCAGCGGGGAGGCGUUACCCGCAGAAGAAGCACCGGCUAACUCCGUGCCAGCAGCCGCGGUAAUAC
rnacentral:rRNA from 1 species